rnacentral:rRNA from 1 species
UACAGAGGGGGCAAGCGUUGUUCGGAAUUACUGGGCAUAAAGGGUGCGUAGGUGGCUUGCUAAGUCAGUGGUGAAAUCGUCCGGCCCAACCGGACACGUGCCAAUGAUACUGGCGAGCUCGAGUGCGUGAGGGGUAGGGGGAACGAGCAGUGUAGCGGUGAAAUGCGUAGAUAUUGCUCGGAAGGCCAAAGCCGAAGGGACCCUACUGGUGCGCAACUGACACUGAGGCACGAAAGCGUGGGGAGCAAACAGG